UGUGACAUACUCUGUAAAAAU
rnacentral:piRNA from 1 species